rnacentral:rRNA from 1 species
CCAAUGGUGACACACCGAGGUAGUGACAAUAAAUAACAAUGCAAGCCCUAUGGGUUUGCAAUUGGAAUGAGAACAAUUUAAAUCCCUUAUCGAGCAACAAUUGGAGGGCAAGUCUGGUGCCAGCAGCCGCGGUAAUUCCAGCUCCAAUAGCGUAUGUUAAUGCUGUUGCAGUUAAAACGUUCGUAGUUGAAUUUCGAAUGAGGCAAUGGUCUCCUCUAACGAGGUAGAACUAUUGCUGAUUUCUUCCUUCUGGGUAUUCAAAGUGCUCUUCAUUGAGUGCUUUGAAAACCAGAACCUUUACUUUGAAAAAAUUAGAGUGUUUAAGGCAGGCUUAUGCUUGAAUACAUUAGCAUGGAAUAAUAGAAUAGGACUUUGGUUCUAUUUUGUUGGUUUUUAGAACCGAGGUAAUGAUUAAUAGGGACAGUUGGGGGCAUUAGUAUUGUGGCAGUCAGAGGUGAAAUUCUUAGAUUUGUCCAAGACUAACAACUGCGAAAGCAUUUGCCAAGGAUGUUUUCAUUAAUCAAGAACGAAAGUUAGGGGAUCGAAGACGAUUAGAUACCGUCGUAGUCUUAACCAUAAACUAUGCCGACUAGGGAUCGGUGAAGUUCCAUUUAUGACCUCAUCGGCAC